GCCAGGCAUGGUGGCUCAUGCCUGUAAUCCCACCACUUUGGGAGGCUGAGGCAGGCGGAUUGCUUGAGCCCAGGAGUUCAAGACCAACCUGGGCAACACAGCGAGACCCUGUCUCUA
rnacentral:SRP_RNA from 1 species